ACCUCCCGCUAGGCGGGAGGUUCAAAAAAGUAUAACGCUUUACACAGGUUAUAAAAAUUUCUUUUGAUUUACGAGCAUUUGGCUGCGGUCUGGCAACUGCAACCAUGAAGCAAAUCAAAA
rnacentral:sRNA from 1 species